AAGUCGUAACAAGGUUUCCGUAGGUGAACCUGCGGAAGGAUCAUUACCGAGUGAGGGCCCUCUGGGUCCAACCUCCCACCCGUGUUUAUUUUACCUUGUUGCUUCGGCGGGCCCGCCUUUACUGGCCGCCGGGGGGCUCACGCCCCCGGGCCCGCGCCCGCCGAAGACACCCUCGAACUCUGUCUGAAGAUUGUAGUCUGAGUGAAAAUAUAAAUUAUUUAAAACUUUCAACAACGGAUCUCUUGGUUCCGGCAUCGAUGAAGAACGCAGCGAAAUGCGAUACGUAAUGUGAAUUGCAAAUUCAGUGAAUCAUCGAGUCUUUGAACGCACAUUGCGCCCCCUGGUAUUCCGGGGGGCAUGCCUGUCCGAGCGUCAUUGCUGCCCUCAAGCACGGCUUGUGUGUUGGGCCCCGUCCUCCGAUUCCGGGGGACGGGCCCGAAAGGCAGCGGCGGCACCGCGUCCGGUCCUCGAGCGUAUGGGGCUUUGUCACCCGCUCUGUAGGCCCGGCCGGCGCUUGCCGAUCAACCCAAAUUUUUAUCCAGGUUGACCUCGGAUCAGGUAGGGAUACCCGCUGAACUUAA
rnacentral:rRNA from 1 species